UGGGGGCGCAGCCUGAUCCAGCCAUACCGCGUGGGUGAAGAAGGCCUUCGGGUUGUAAAGCCCUUUUGUUGGGAAAGAAAUCCAGCUGGCUAAUACCCGGUUGGGAUGACGGUACCCAAAGAAUAAGCACCGGCUAACUUCGUGCCAGCAGCCGCGGUAAUACGAAGGGUGCAAGCGUUACUCGGAAUUACUGGGCGUAAAGCGUGCGUAGGUGGUCGUUUAAGUCCGUUGUGAAAGCCCUGGGCUCAACCUGGGAACUGCAGUGGAUACUGGGCGACUAGAGUGUGGUAGAGGGUAGCGGAAUUCCUGGUGUAGCAGUGAAAUGCGUAGAGAUCAGGAGGAACAUCCAUGGCGAAGGCAGCUACCUGGACCAACACUGACACUGAGGCACGAAAGCGUGGGGAGCAAACAGGAUUAGAUACCCUGGUAGUCCCAA
rnacentral:rRNA from 1 species